UGGUGUGUUUUCUUCCUCGCAACUUUCUCUCUGCUCCAAAGCAGGACAGGGUGGCCAGACCAGGGGUCCCGAAAAGGACUCUUCCCCGCGUCAAAACCAGUGCCCGCUCGGCCCGCUACAAGUUCCCCGAGGAGACCCGAGAGUGGGGUGCCAGCCUCUGUGGGCGCAGGGCAAGGGCAGGGGCGCGUCCGCGUGGUCCUCGUCUGGUCCCGACGGCAAGCCUGGAGAGGACCACGCCUCGUGCGGGGCUGCAUGCACGCUUAAGGAGGUUGUGCGUGAAGGCUGUGUGAGGCACGCAGUUGUAUGACUUAGAGCAAGACAACUAAUAUCUCUCUGGUCAUCACAUUCAUCAUCUGUGAAAUAGCAAUCAUGAUGAUGAUCUAAGGUGAUGUGAGGAUGACGUAGAAUACGGUAGGGAAACUGAGCUUUAUCAAGGUGAACACUGGCCCCAAGCCACAUACUAGGAAGUUGCAGAGUGGAACCAGGACUAUUGCCCUGCAAAGCCCGUGCUCUUACCUGAGA